UCAAGAACGAAAGUUAGAGGUUCGAAGGCGAUCAGAUACCGCCCUAGUUCUAACCAUAAACGAUGCCAGCUAGCGAUCCGCCGAAGUUCCUCCGAUGACUCGGCGGGCAGCUUCCGGGAAACCAAAGCUUUUGGGUUCCGGGGGAAGUAUGGUUGCAAAGCUGAAACUUAAAGGAAUUGACGGAAGGGCACCACCAGGAGUGGAGCCUGCGGCUUAAUUUGACUCAACACGGGACACCUCACCAGGCCCAGACACCGGAAGGAUUGACAGAUUGAGAGCUCUUUCUUGAUUCGGUGGUAGGUGGUGCAUGGCCGUUCUUAGUUGGUGGAGCGAUUUGUCUGGUUAAUUCUGAUAACGAGCGAGACUCUAGCCUGCUAAAUAGGCGUACUUUCCGGUAUCUCGAAGGCCCGCCGGUCGGCUUCGGUCCGUGUGUGGUUUUUACUACCGGCGUACAUAUAUAUCUUCUUAGAGGGACAGGUGGCAUUUAGUCGCAUG
rnacentral:rRNA from 1 species